rnacentral:lncRNA from 10 species
AAACAACUGAAAAGAUGGUUGAAUAAAGAAAUCUUCAGAAAUUAAACAAAUAAUGCCAUAACUUUCAUUGUAAAACUCAGGGUCCAAUUACGCUUUUAGCCUAAUUCAAUCCUAUUAACCUGAAACUGAGAGGUGAAGCUGGCUGGGCUUCUGGGUCAGGUGGGGACUGGGAGAACUUUUCUGUCUAGCUAAAGGAUUGUAAACGCACCAAUCAGCACUCUGUGUCUAGCUAAAGGUUUGUAAACACACCAAUCAGGGCUCUGUGCCUAGCUAAUCGGGUAGGGGACUUGGAGAGCUAGACAGAAAGUCUAGCUAAAGGAUUGUAAAUGCACCAGUCAGCGCUCUAUGUCUAGUUAAAGGUUUGUAAACACACCAAUCAGCACUCUGUCAAAACGGACCAAUCAGCACUCUGUAAAACGGACCAAUCAGCACUCUGUAAAAUGGACCAAUCAGCUCACUGUAAAGUGGACCAAUCAGCAGGAUGUGGGUAGGGCCAAAUAAGAAAAUAAAAGCAGGCCACCCAGCCUCAGUGGCAAUUGGCUGGGGUCCACUUCCCCACUGUGAGAGGUUUUUUCUUUUGCUCUCUGCGAUGAAUCUUACUGCUGCUUACUGUAUGGGUCUGCACCCGCCUUUAUGAGCUGUGAGACUCACCACUAAGGUCUGCAGCUUCACUCCUGAAGCCAAGGAGACCACUAACCCACCGGGAGGAACGAACAACUCUGGACGGGCCGCCUUUAUGAGCUGUAACACUCACCGCGAAGGUUUGCAGCUUCACUCUUGAAGUCAGCGAGACCAGGAACCCACCAGAAGGAAGAAACUCUGCACACGUCCGAACAUCAAAAGGAACAAACUCUGGACACACCAUCUUUAAGAACUGCAACACUCACCACGAGGGUCCGCGGCUUCAUUCUUAAAGUCAGUGAGACUAAGAACCCACCAAUUCUUGGACAUAAAACCAGUAAUUCUUAUCAGCACAGGCACAAGCUAUUUUAUUUAUCUUUGUAUUAAUCAUUUAUUCAACAAAUAAUAACUGAAUGCUUACAAAGUAUUAGCCUGGAAUUGUCAAAAGAGGAUGAUAACAUCCCCUUUCCCCAGAGGAGUGUUUGAAAAUGUAUGGGGACAUUUGUCAUUGUUAUUGUUACAAUUACUGUCUUUGUUGGAAUUUAGCGAGUUGGGGGACAAACAUACUAAAUAUUCUAUAAACUCUUCCACUAUUAGUGGAAUUUGAAGUUUGUUUCGAGUCAUUAUGAACAUUCCAUACUUGUCUGCUGGUAAGAUUCCUUUCUUAGGGCAUAUAUACAAGAGUUUCAAUGGCUUAAAAACUCUUAAUCGUGGCCAAAAGUAAUACAUUUUGUGUCACAACGCUGAAACACAUAUGUGUGUGGAUAACUGAAACAAAUAAUUCACGAGAAUAUAUCCCUUAGUAUGUUUUUAUGCACACCAAUUUAUUAAAAAAUAAUGCUGCUUGCUAUAAUACUAAAUUGAUUUUCAAAAUCUAUUCAUUCACCAAAACUCAGUUUAAAAAGCAAAACUCUACAGGGCAGACCUAGUGGUGGAAUUAUUGCAUCAAAGAGUAUGCUUAUGUUUUUCUCAAAAUAUCAAACUAUUUUUAAAGUUGUUAUUUUAACUUAUACCUACUAAGAAUGGGUGAAGAAAUUCUGUUGCUCUAAAACUUUACUUUUGGUCUUUUUAAGUUCUACACGCAUGUGUGCUGUUGUAGUAUAUAAAAUUUUAUAUCUUUUUAACAUUUAACAAUAUGAACAAUUUCUGGUGUCAUUAGUUGGUAUUAAAACAUGAGGUUUUUUGAAUUAAAGAAUAAUAUUUUAUUGUGAGGAUACAUGAUCAUGUAUUUGAUUCUUCCCCUAUUGUUGUACAUAACUAUGCUUCUAAGACUUUGGACAACUCUAUAAUGAAAUCAUUAAUUUUAUAUACUAUUUUACUAAUUGAUCUCUGGUUGCAUCUUAUGACAGAUUUCAAGACCCAGUAUUACUGGGUCAAAGGGAAUGACCAUGUUUAUAGCUUUUGAUAUACAUUUUCAAAUUGCGUUCCAGAAAAUGUAUACCUGUUUACUUUUUGAUAGAUCCAGGUUUUCCUACUUUUGACUGAGUAAAAUCAAGUUUAACUAAACAUGUAACAUUAGACAACAGUGUUCUAUUUAUAAAACAUUACCCUUAAAUAGAUUUGGAAAUGUGUUUUCCAGUCUCCAUAUUUAGAAUGGUAAAUGUAAACAGAAGAAAGGAAGGAAUUUCCAGCCUUAACACUGUAUUAAUUUAUUUUGCUUUAAUAGCUGUUUGCCUCACUGUGGAAUAAAAAUAACACUGUACUAG